GAUUUAUUCUGCUGAUCUUUUGCUAUCUUAAGCUGGAGGCUUAGCUUACUAAUUUUCAGCCUUCACCCCUUUACAAUGUAAACAUUCAAAAACAGACAUUUCCUUUUGUUUUUGCUACAUUUCAUGAAUUUUUGAUUUAGCAUUUUCUUUAUAGUAGUUCUAGGCAUUUACAAAUUUCCAUUUUGCUAUACUCUUGUUCAUGUAUUACUUAGUAAAUGCUUUAAAAUUUCCAAGUAUAUGAGGAUCAUAUGGCUUUAAUUUUAACUUUUCAUUGAAGAAUAAUUUGCAUACACAAAAGACAUAUUAUAAAUGCACAGCUCAAUGAAUUUUUACAAACUAAAUACAGCCAUGUCACCAACACCAAAAUCAAGAAACAAAACUUUGCCAGUAACCCAGAAGCCACCCUUAUUUUUUCUUCCACUUACUACUCUUCUCUAAGAGGAAGAACUAUCCUGACUUCUAACAGCACAGAUCUGCCUGAUUUUGUAUUUAACAUAAAUGAAAUCAUACAAUUUGUAAGCUGUUUUGUCAGACUUCUUUCAUUCAAUCUUAUAUUUGUGAGAUUAUCCAUACUAUUACAUGUAACUGUAGUUUGCUAAUUUCCCUUGCUGUAGAGUACUUCACAAUUUCUUUCUUUUUUUUUUUUAAUGAGUUUCAGUUUUAUUUGGGGACUCACUCAGGACUAUAGUCCAGAAGACAGACUCUCAGAUAGCUCUGAGGAAGCUGCUCCAAAGAAGUUAGGGGAGAGGUUAGCAUAUAGGUGAUUUUGGAGAAGGGGUACAGGUAAUCAAAUGCAUGUCUUAGUAGAAAGUUACUCUUAAGUCAAGAGGCACAGAUAUCUUAGUAGAUGAUUUUAAUGUUUUUGUAAAUAUUGGGAAGAUGCAAGAAACUGGGUUCAUGAAAUUUUCUUUUGAAAAUAUCUAUCUGAAGUCCUGUUCUGUCAGUUUUCCAAGAAAAAAUCUCGGUGUGUUGAAGGUCAGCAACUGACUGCAUAUUUGUCUUCUCUCUCUCCGUAUAUACAUAUAAAUAUAUAUAUAAACUAUAUAUAUAAUAAGACACACACACAGCACAUCUGUAUGAUUUUGUUUUUUACAUUUACAUCUUUGACCACUAGGAACUUAUACUAGUGUGUGUUAUAAGAUGGGAUUCCAAGUUUCCUCAUCUAAAUUGCCAGUCAGUUGUCCAAAUACUGCUUAUUAAAAAAUCCAUUUUUUCCUGACUGAUUUGAGAUACAAGCUUCUUCAUAUAUUAUACUUCCAUAUAUACUUGGAUCUAUUUUGAAACUUGCUAUUUUGUGAACAUUAAUUCAUCUGCUUAUUCAUGUAUCAAUUAUAAAGUUUUAUAAUAUGUCUUAAUAUUGGGUAGCACCAACUCUAUCCUCACUAUUGCUUUUUUUUUUAAUUCUGAGAAGAAGCAAAUUUGGGGAGGAACGCUUUCCAUUUUAUUUUUUGUUUUUACGUAUUUUUAAUGGCUGCACCCAGAGCAUACGGAAGUUCCCAGGCCAGGAACUGAAUCCAAGCUGCAGCUGUGGCAACAACAGAUCCUUUAAUCCCACUGCAAUGGACCAAGGAUCUAAACCAGACCUCUGCAGUGAGCCAAGUCGCUGCAGUCAGAUUCCUAACCCACCACACCACCACAGGUACUCCCUAAUUAUUGCUUUUUUAUUCCCCUAGGAUUUUCCUGGAUACUUCACAGUAUUUUUAUUCAUUCUGUUGAUGGGCAUUUGGGUAGUUUCCAGUUUCAGGCUAUUAUGAUUAGUGGCCGUGAUCAUUCUUAUACAUAAUUUUUGUUGAACAUAUGUAUGCAUUUCUGUUAGAGGAAAGGAACUGAUGGGUCAUAACUUAUGUGUAUGUUCAGCUUUAAUUGAUAUGGCCAUACAAUUUUCCAAAAUGUUUGGACCAACUUAUACUCCCACCAAUAGAGUUGGUUAUUUUUUGCAGCUAUUUUAUAACCUAAGUGCAUUAUGGUCAGAGAAUAUUUUUGGUAUUUUACCAAUUCUCUGAAAUUUUUGAGACCUACUUGAUGUUUAAUUUUCUACAACCUCCUAUGUGUGCCUGAGAAAAGCAUGCAUUCUAUAAUCAUUGAAUUUAUGGUCCUAUACAUGAUCAUUAGACUUAAUCUUAUCAACUGGAAAAGCUCAUGUACUUGAUUAUUUUUUCUCUUUUAUUUAUCAAUUACCCAAAUGGAUGUGUCAAAUUACUGCACAACGUAACUCUCUCUCUCUCUCUCUCUCUCUCUCUCUCUCUCUCUCUCUCUCUCUCUCUAUCUAUCUAUCUAUCUAAGUCUUGAGUUCAUACUGAUUCCUCUGAUUCCAAUCCAACAUUACAGGGUUAAUUUCCACCUGCCAUUUAUACCUUCUUCCUCCAACAGUGAAAAGCCUUGCUCUUAUUAUGUACACUAUAUUUAUUUGUUCUAUCCUAGUAUGCAUAUAGUUUUAGAACUGCUUACCCAUACCUUGUGAAAAACAAACUCACUAUAUAAAUUAUAGUCUUGUGUAUGGUUCUUUACAGUAUCCAGUCAAAGAAUUGCAUUCUAAAGUUAUUUACAUUAGCUCUUUUCUCCCCUAUCCCUUUCAAUAUAGUAAUAUUCACCUAUAAAACAGGUUUAUCUAUAACCAUUUGUAUUUUAUUUUGGAUUCCUGCUGACAUCCUGAUAGGUUUUGUUUAUUUAGUUUUGAGAGUAUGUGAAAUGUUACUAUAGUUCUAAAAAGAGCUAAUAAAAAGGUAUACUCAGAGAAGUAUCACUGCCUCCCCAUGCCUAUUACUCUAUUUCCAUCCCUUCCCCAAAUUUUGGCACCCCUUUCCUACAAAUCUCUUUAAAUUAUGCUUUAUCCUUUAUAUAUUCCUUUUGCACAAAUGAACAGAUUCUGUUAUAUCUUUUUUCUUACAUAAAUGUCUACCACCUUAUUUUGUAUUGUCUAGAUGUUCUAUUUUCAGAAGCUUCAUGCUUCAUUGUUUUUACUAUUUCAUUUUGGAUUAACCAUGGGUUUUUUUCCUCCCCCUUUUGUCAUGAUAAGAAAAGUACAACCAUUACUUCUAUACUUUCAGAGAUUGCCCUGGAGUUUCCAUUGUGGCUAAGCGAGUUACAAACCCAACUAGUAUCCAUGAGGAUGCGGUUUCAAUCCCUGGCCUCACUCAGUGGGUUAAGGAUCCAGCGUUGCCAUGAGCCGUGGUGUAGGUCACAGACAUGGCAUGGAUCCCCUGUUGCUGUGCUGUGGUGUAGGCCAGCAACUGCAGCUCCAAUUGGACCCCUAUACUGGGCACUUCCAUAUGCCAUGUAUGCGCCCCUAAAAAGCAAAAAAAAAAAAAAAAAAAAAGAAGAAGGAGUUGCCCUUAAAUUUUAACUCAUACUUUGUUAAUAUCUAAAGAUAAUCAGUAUGUCAACUUUUCCCAGGACUUUUAUAAUCAUAAAAAUUAAUGUUAGGCUAGGCACUUUACUUAUGACAAGUCACUUAAGGCCUAUGUGGUUGAGCAAUUUGCCCAAAGUUACUCAGAUGAGUCCUGAAAUUGGGAUUUAAAUUCAGAGAGUCUUGUUCUAUAUUCCGUGUUCUUAAACAUUUUGCUUUAUUUAACCUGGAACACUUGAAUUUGGGUCACUUCCUCCCUUCUUAGAUGUUAUUCCUAUCAGCUAUUUUUUUCAGUUUCUUUUAUUAGCUCACAAUCCCCUAUUGCAUCUAAUACCUUCCUUUAGAGAACGUUUUCCUUGGUCGUGAAGUAUAUACUUUUAGAAGUACCUUUAGUAUAUGCUGAAAGUAAAAAUUCUCAGCUUUUAUUCGCCAGAGACUGUAUUUAUUUAAUGAUAGCUCAGCUGAGGUUGACAGUUAUUUUCUCUCAGUACUCUGAAUAUAUAACUCCUUUGUCUUCUGGUUUCCUUGUCAGUGAUGAGAUGUCUGCUUUAAGUGUUGUUAUCACACCCUUUCUAAGUAAAUUGUCUUUUCUCUUUGUUUGUCCUUUAUAAACUUCUUUUUGUCUUUAGUGUUCUACAUAUUGCAACAAGACACAUCCAAGUGUGAAUUACUUUUUGAAAGUCCCAUUGGGAUUCAUUAUGUAUCCUGAGUCUGAAGAUUUAUGUCUUCAACAAUUCUAGAAAAUCAUUAGACAUAAUCUCUUCAGAUAAUGUGUCUCUCCCAUCCUCUCAACUCUUUCAUUCUGGAACUCCAACUAGAUGGACAUUAGACCUUCUCAUUCUACCCUUACUAUUGGUGUUUUUACCCCAAAAUUAGAUAUUAUUAUAAUUUAUUUAUUUAGUCAAUGUUUGUUUCAUUCUUUCAAUUGCUUAUUGUUUUGAUAAUAUUUUCUUGGCUAAUUUUUAAGGGCUUUCUAUAUACUAAGGAAAUUAUCCAUUGUUAGUCUUCUGAAAAUCUAUUUUCCUCAAUUGAUCAAUUUUUCUUUUGACUUUCUUUAUGGUAUCUUUUACAAUGCAGCUAUUUUAAACUAACAUACAGUCAGAUCUAACAAUUUUUUAUAUUGUGGGUUUUGGAUUUGGGAUAUUUCUUCAAAAGACCUUCUCCAUCCCAACUCAUUAAAAAAAUUCUCCUGGAGUUCCCCUUGUGGCACAGCGGAAACGAAUCUGACUAGAAACCAUGAGGUUGUGGGUUCGAUCCCUGGUCUCACUCAGUGGGUUAAGGAUCCUGCGUUGCUGUGAGCUGUGGUGUAGGUCACAGAUGCAGCUCAGAUCUGGUGUGGCUGUGGCUGUGGUGUAGUUCAGCAGCUGUAACUCCAAUUUAGACCCCUAGCCUGGGAACCUCCAUAUGCUGCAGGUGCGGCUGCAAAAAUACAAAAAAAAAAAAAAAUUCCCAUGCUUUGGUCUCAUUCAUUUAUGAUUUUAAUCAAUAUUUUUAAACAGAUCUACUUAGAAUUUAUUUUGGCGUAAGAGUGAAUUCAUAUCCAGAUUUUUCUCCCAAAUAACUAACCAAUUACCUUAAAGCCAUUCAUCCAUUCAUUCAUCAAAUAAACUAUCUUUUAUCCUAUUUAUUUAAAGCUCCCUUUUUCACAUACUACCUGUGUAUUUGGAUUGAUUCUGAGUCCUUGGUUUUGCUCCACUGAUAAAUUAAUUCACUAAUGCGGAUG
rnacentral:lncRNA from 1 species